rnacentral:rRNA from 1 species
GGUUAAGCGACUAAGCGUACACGGUGGAUGCCCUGGCAGUCAGAGGCGAUGAAGGACGUGCUAAUCUGCGAUAAGCGUCGGUAAGGUGAUAUGAACCGUUAUAACCGGCGAUUUCCGAAUGGGGAAACCCAGUGUGAUUCGUCACACUAUCAUUAACUGAAUCCAUAGGUUAAUGAGGCGAACCGGGGGAACUGAAACAUCUAAGUACCCCGAGGAAAAGAAAUCAACCGAGAUUCCCCCAGUAGCGGCGAGCGAACGGGGAGCAGCCCAGAGUCUGAAUCAGUGUGUGUGUUAGUGGAAGCGUCUGGAAAGGCG